GAUGAACGCUGGCGGCGUGCCUAAUACAUGCGAGUCGAGCGAACGGACGAGAAGCUUGCCUCUCUGAUGUUAGCGGCGGACGGGUGAGUAACACGUGGAUAACCUACCUAUAAGACUGGGAUAACUUCGGGAAACCGGAGCUAAUACCGGAUAAUAUUUUGAACCGCAUGGUUCAAAAGUGAAAGACGGUCUUGCUGUCACUUAUAGAUGGAUCCGCGCUGCAUUAGCUAGUUGGUAAGGUAACGGCUUACCAAGGCAACGAUGCAUAGCCGACCUGAGAGGGUGAUCGGCCACACUGGAACUGAGACACGGUCCAGACUCCUACGGGAGGCAGCAGUAGGGAAUCUUCCGCAAUGGGCGAAAGCCUGACGGAGCAACGCCGCGUGAGUGAUGAAGGUCUUCGGAUCGUAAAACUCUGUUAUUAGGGAAGAACAUAUGUGUAAGUAACUGUGCACAUCUUGACGGUACCUAAUCAGAAAGCCACGGCUAACUACGUG
rnacentral:rRNA from 1 species